UACGUAGGCAGCAAGCGUUGUUCGGAGUUACUGGGCGUAAAGGGUGUGUAGGCGGUUGCUUAAGUUUGGUGUGAAAUCUCCCGGCUCAACUGGGAGGGUGCGCCGAAUACUGAGUGACUCGAGUGCGGGAGAGGAAAGUGGAAUUCCUGGUGUAGCGGUGAAAUGCGUAGAUAUCAGGAGGAACACCGGUGGUGUAGACGGCUUUCUGGACCGUAACUGACGCUGAGGCACGAAAGCGUGGGGAGCAAACAGG
rnacentral:rRNA from 1 species